UGUUUUGUGGCUUAGUUGGUUACAGCGUCGAAUUAGCGAUAUGGAGUCAUUGGUUCGAAUCUCACCAAAACAA
rnacentral:tRNA from 1 species